rnacentral:rRNA from 1 species
GACGAACGCUGGCGGCGUGCUUAACACAUGCAAGUCGAACGGAAAGGCCCUGCUUUUGUGGGGUGCUCGAGUGGCGAACGGGUGAGUAACACGUGAGUAACCUGCCCUUGACUUUGGGAUAACUUCAGGAAACUGGGGCUAAUACCGGAUAGGAGCUCCUGCUGCAUGGUGGGGGUUGGAAAGUUUCGGCGGUUGGGGAUGGACUCGCGGCUUAUCAGCUUGUUGGUGGGGUAGUGGCUUACCAAGGCUUUGACGGGAAGCCGGCCUGAGAGGGUGACCGGCCACAUUGGGACUGAGAUACGGCCCAGACUCCUACGGGAGGCAGCAGUGGGGAAUAUUGCACAAUGGGCGGAGGCCUGAUGCAGCAACGCCGCGUGCGGGAUGACGGCCUUCGGGUUGUAAACCGCUUUCGCCUGUGACGAAGCGUGAGUGACGGUAAUGGGUAAAGAAGCACCGGCUAACUACGUG